UACAUGGGCUCCAAGCGUUAUCCGGAUUUAUUGGGCGUAAAGGGUCUCCAGGUGGUCUGGUUAGUCGGGCGUUAAAUUCCGCUGCUUAACGGCGGAGCUGCGUUCGAAACGGCCAAACUCGAGGGAUGGAGAGGGAGUAGGAACUCACGGUGUAGGGGUGAAAUCCGUUGAUAGUCGUGGGGAACACCAAAGGCGAAGGCAAACUCCUGGCCAUUUCCUGACACUCAUGAGACGAAAGCGUGGGGAGCGAACAGG
rnacentral:rRNA from 1 species